ensembl:lncRNA
CAGGCAAGAAAGGUGUCCAGCCCUAAAUAAGAGCAAUUCUAUUCAAAAGGGAGGAGGAAAUUAUUCUUCAGAAACCAAAUACCAUAAAAGAUUUUUUUUUUAAGCUGCUGGAAUGUUCCAGGGUAACGGUGACUAAGGAGACACGGUAGAUGAAUGAAGUACCAGAUCCUGGGUGCUCACUGUGCUGGAGGGAAAAGUGCGGUAAAGGGUGUCAGGGGUCUGUUGGCAAAAUCAGAACCCGGAUGGCGCCCUGGCAGGAGAGGUGGCGAGUGAGAAUGCACUGUGUCUCCCGGCGGCUGCGGGAUGUCACGGUGGGCCUGGGAAUGCCGCUUGCACUGGAUCUCCUGUGCUUGCCGGAGCUGCUGCCAGGAACCAGGACAGCCCUGCCCAGCCCGGGUCUGCACCCCACGCUCCCCUCCUCUGACCCCCUCGUCGUGUCUCUGUUCCCAGCCAAGCCCCAGCCGGGCCGCUCUUCUUCUCCAGGACUCCCUGAACCACCGAAAGGUGCAAACUGCUCACUCUUACCUAGCAGAUCAGCCGCCAGUUGGUGAGCUAGAGGAUAUUUUCUUCUAGCACAUUUGACAUUUCUUUGAAUAGUCUUCUAAGGAAACCACUCAAUAAAACCUUAAUUCAUAUUUAAAAAGAUAUCAUUGCUCAUAUUAACCUACUUAAGAAACAUCUCUGAAGUUAAAAGCAAGGAUGGGAGCUUCCCUGGUGGCUCAGGAGUGAAGAAUUCACCUGCCAACGCAGGAGACAUGCGUUCGAUCUCUAGUCUGGAAAGAUUCCACAUGCCUCAGGGCACUGGGAGCUACCGCCACUGAGCCCAUGUGCCACAAGUGUGCCCUCGAGCCCACGCCCAGCAACAAGGGAAGCCACCUCAGUGAGAAGCCUGCUCACUGCAGCUAGAGAGCAGCCCCAACUCACUGCAACUAGAGAAAAGCCCGCAGAGCAACCAAGACCCAGCACAGCCAAAAAGAAAUAAAUAAAGCCAGAAUGUUCAUAUUAGCCCUUAUACAGUGCUAAGGCAUAAUGCUAUGUAAUAUUAUUUUAUGACAAUGACAAGCCAUCUGUAAAUAUUCUUCCAACAAAUAUUUUAGGAGUUAUACUUCUCAGCUGUUGGGUUAUUUAGAAAUUGAUUUCAAGGACUAUUAAUUUGUGACUGCUUCACAUAUGUUGCCUGGUGGAUGGAAGAUGCCAGCAGAACUUGAGCACGUGGCACAUCACCUUUGGAACUAUGGAAUCGUCAGUCUCUAGAAAGCGUGAUGACUGACCAGCACCUUCUCCUCAUUGGCGCUUUCAUCUAUUGAGCAUGUAUUUUUCAAGUGCUGCUCCCUGUUGGAACCACUCGUUUCCAGAGACCUGGAGCUGUGAGCACUUAGCACAGGUGGUGGGCAGGUGCAGGCAGGGAGGGCGUGGGACCCCUGCCAUCACAGAUGUUUGCCCCGUGUUCCGAGAGAGCCCAGGACUAGAGCCAGACAAGAGAUAAAUAAAUGUGCGUGACAUGUAGGAUUCAAAGUACUGUGUGCUUUCUACCCAAAUGAGAGCCUGGGUUGCCCCAAGUCUGGCUUCCUCUCAAAUUUUUCAUUUGAAGUCCC